UUCUAGAUCCCACAACAAUGUAAAGAAGACCAAUCUGGCACGAAGACAGAGGUGUAUUAUGAAAACCAUUUUCUUCCUUGGAAAUGGAACAUCACAGCCUUAAUUCAGAACAACCACGUGGAAUCAACUGUGCCUGUAAAUAGCACGGUGGUCCCAUUUCAGGCUGGGGUGGCGGCUGUGAAUAUACCUCCUCAUCUAGGCUUCAUCUCAAUAGGAUCAUCUCCAGACUGUGUCCAGGCAGCUCUACCUCAUACCGACGUCUCUUCCUCACAGCAUUCACCUCAACACCAGCUUCUUCAAUGAUGCAGUCAUAACAUCAGGUAUGAAAAGCUCCAGUAGCCUUGGAAGAAGAGAUUCAGUGAAGGAAGAGGCUGCUUUUGAAGCGAUUUCUGCUGCUAUUUUCUGCUGCU